GCAGGGGGCGGGAGAGGAGACACUGCCCACUCCCAAACGAUGCCCUGCUUCAAUUAGCUUCCCUUGGAACUAAUUAAAGGGCAGCUCAAGCCCUGAGAAGUCAAGAGGAAAACUCCACCCCGUGUGCUCACCUGUCUGCAGGCACGUAACACCGGAACCCGGGCUCGGGCUGUGCUUUACGGGGCCGUGCUGGAGGAAAUGGGCAUUUUGUGGGUAAAAGUAAUUACACCAGGCCCAGUGUGACCUCGCUCAUGGAUGUGCCAUCCCACCCUGGGCUGGACACAGCAGCCCUGCUGAGCUUUUGGCUGCCUGUGUUUCGGGUUCAGGGUGCUCCAGCACAUCCUUUUUUUCCCACCCUGAGUUCUGUUGGAAUUUGGGAGCUGAGAUCCCUUUGGUGAGGUCGGAGGACGGAGGAAAGCCCAGCCUAGCACAUUCCAGGAGUGAUGCUGGGAUGCAGAGCAGCAUUCUCUGAGUAAAAUCUCCUCCCCAUUUCUCCCACUGCUUUCAGCCCCUUCCCAAACCCAGCAGCUGGAAGAUCAGUUAGACAAGAGGGAAAGUCCAAGGAGAAGGAAACCUGGAGAUUUCCUGGUACCAGUUGUUUACCAGCCUCUCCUUAUCCAGCCCAGCAGCAGGAAGUCAAACACUCUCCUCCCUCCCCUCCUGUUUGCUUUCACCUGCUGAAAAUUCCCUCCCCUGUGUGAGGCUCUGGCUGCUGGCACCAGUGCCCUCCAGUUAACUGCUCUGGGGCUGGAGCUCGCUUCCAGGCCAGCCCCAAGGUAGGAAACCUCCCCUUGAGCUGUGCCAAGGGUCAUCCCGAGGGUUAUCAGUCACCAAUCCAGAGCAGACAGUCCCCCUCCCAGAGAAUCUGGGUAUUCUGGGAGCUCCUCAGCAGUGAAGACCCCCCACCCAAAAUUCCCAGUACAGGGAAACCCCCGUGAGGCUUCACCCCCUUUCCCCAGGACAGGCCCUGCUCGGCACGUCCCCCAUGUCCAAGAAUAACCUCAGCCUGAGGAACAGGGUCACCUCCCUCUAAUCUCCAAAGCCCUUUAAACCUGGAUCAUCUUCUCCCAACGUGGAUAUCACCCCACUUGGCAGCUAAAGCGGGUCAGGACGUACAGCAGGACAGCUCCUUCCCCACUGAAACCGCCCUGCCUGGGCCCCACCAAAGAAAAGCCGUGGCCACCGUCCUUCCCAAAGCUUCCCAGCCCUGUGGCCAGGUUGGUUACUCCGAGCACCCCUCAAAUUGUUCCAAAGAUGGGAUAAAAUGGGGAAUUCAGGCUGCAGUGCCAGAGUCUGAGCAUCUUCCAAGACAAAACACCUCCUCAAUUGCUCCAUGCUUUUGAAGAGCAUGGAAUAGUUUAGGUCAGAUUGCCAAUUCCAAACAAAUAAAGUCACUAGGUUAGGAUCCUGAAGGGGGCAAUUGAAUUUCUGGAAAGCUUCCAGUCUAAAUAACAGUGUUUCCUCAAGGAAAUCUAAACAAACUGAAGGGAGAAGGAAGGGAUGGAAGCAGGGGAGCGCUGGGCAUGCCCCAGCCCAGGACAUCAUGUUAAAGCUCCAGAUCACGGAGUAGCUGUGGGUGUAAUGAGCUCAAUGCCACGUUUUUGAACCAAACCCCAGCAAAUCCCCAUCUCUUGGCUCAAGGCUGUCUCCAAGGCUCAGCUCAUUUCCAUGCCGGAUGCUGGAGAGGUGCCCAGGGUCGCCUGUCCCGGCUGCACCGCUGGGAAAGGUCUGCCCGCCCCAGCUGAGGAAACCUCAACUUGCCCAAUUCCUGCUGCUGUGUGACCUGAGCUGAGCCAAGCUGAGCUGAGCCGUGCUCAAAGCAACCCAAAAAACAGCUUUUGAUUUCCAAACUCGUGGCUCUGGUGCCAGCACUGCAGCCAGACACCGUUCUACUCCUCAGGACUCCUCCUAAGGAGCCUGGACCCCGAGGGAUCAGCACUGAGGAAAUAUUAAUUAACUCAUCUUCAAAUAACUCAAUUCCAAGUCAAUGCUGUUCUCCAUAGAAAAGAGCUGGGGCUGUUCAGCCUCGAGAAGAGAAGCCCAAAGGGGCUCCAGGAGAGCUGGAGAGGGAAUUUGGACAAGGGCCUGGAGGGACAGGACACAGGGAAUGGCUCCCAGUGCCGGAGGGCAGGGCUGGAUGGGAUAUUGGGAAGGAAUUCUCCCCUGGGAGGGUGGGCAGGCCCUGGAAGAGAUUCCCAGAGGAGCUGGGGCUGUCCCUGGAUCCCUGGCAGUGCCCAAGGCCAGGCUGGACGGGGUUUGGAGCAGCCUGGGACAGUGGGAGCUGUCAGAAGGCUCUCAGGUCCUUCCCAACCCAAAGCAUUCCAGGACUCUGUAAAUUCCUUGGCUCUCAGGCUGCCCUUGCAGGGAUGCUGGAGAUCCUCUCCCCAUCUCUCGGGGACACGGGGCAGAGCUGCUGAGGGUGACGACGCUUCCGGCACUGCGCCAUUGCUUCCUGCCCAGCGGGAAGGGGAAGGGAGCUUUGUUCCUGUGCCAAAAGGUCCCAGAUAAACCUUUCCCAUUAAUGGUCCCGGCUUCCAAGAAGGGGAAGCUGUUUGCCUCUUGUGUUCACUUUGCUCUGAGUCCUUUCCCAGAGCCACGUGGCUGCCAGGAACUGGAGCGGCUGCACAUGUUUCCAAUCCCUCAGCAUCUUCCCGCUGUAUUUUUCAGCUGGAUGUGACUAAUUCCAGCGUGUUUCUGAGCAAAAGCAGAAAAAUGGGAGCUUUCUGGGAUAGAUUCUUUACCUUUUUGCCAACAAAGCCAAACAUUUGUUGACUGUAAGAUGACGGAGCAGCAGAAGGCUGGAACACCCCAAACCCACAGCAGGCGCUGUCACCCCUCUCUCCAGGGAAAUUUUUGCUGAGAAUUAUAUUUUCUUUAAAUUACUUCCCUCCCUAUUCCAGUUUUUAACUUCAAGCAUACGGUUUUGUAAGAAUCCCUGAAGUUUUGGGGAAUGCUGCCUGUCUCCCUGCUGCUCUGCUGGGAGGAUGCUGUGCACCCCAAUCUGUGGUGGGACGUGAGGAACUCGGGGAAUUGGGCAGAGGGAGCAGCAGAGGCUGCAGGAUGAAGUGGGAAGGUUUUAUUCCCUGUCCCAAGGCAGAGCCUGUGCCAUGGGGCCCCUGUGCUGCCCAUGCCUGUCCCUGUUUCCCACCCCAGGUGACUCAGAGCAGGGAACCGGCUCGUCCCCUUCCCCAGCCUCCCGUGGGUGACACAGGGGUGAUGCUGGCUGUGCCUGGCCCUGGUGGCACCCACGUCCUUCAGCUGCUCCACGCCAGCUCCAGGCCCACGUGCCCUCCCCGGCAGGGCCAAGCCUGGGAUGACACACGCCCGGAGUCAUCCCGAGCCCGGCUGAGUCAGAUGUUUCCUGCUCGGCCGGUUCCUCCCCAUCCUCAGCCCCGGGACAGCAGCUGGAUCCACGCCGGAGGUGGAGCCGGGUACUGACGGUGAGGAAGUGACACCGCCGAGCAUCCAGCGACCCAUCCUGGGGUGACCCCAGUGCCCCAGUAACACCAGCUCAGCCAGGAAAACGCUCCUGUCGCUGCUGCUCUGCACCCUUCACCCCACCUUACACCCCGAGGGUCUCCGGGGCAGAGACCCCACUCGGAUGCUGGAGGGCAAAGCCUCGCUGGCCCCGAGAAUCCCCCCGGGGUGGUGGGAGCAGCCCCCUGUGGAGGGGAAACUGAGGCUGGGCAGCUCUGAUGGGGUGGAGAGGAGCAAGGGCACACAGGAUGACUUCCCAGAGGCUGGAAAAGCCGUCCUGACAUUGACCUUGGCUCUGACCUCGGCAGCCUCAAGGAAAGCUGUUAAGUUGGUUUUCCAGGAAUUUGCCAUAGGUGCCCCUCCCAUAUCCGCAGAGGCAGCCAGGGAGGAAUCAGCUGGGCAAAACGAAUCCCUUGGCAAAGGAAAAAUGUGAAAAAAAAAAAAAAAUACAAAACGAGGAAAAGCUGCCCCUGCCUGGGGACAGCCACAAAUGCAGGAAAAUCAAUUCCAUCCCCAGUCUUUCCCUUUGGAAGGAGGGAUGGGGAUGCUCACCCCCAUGGCAUGAGCAGGCUCAGGGACCAGAAGCCCAGGGUGAGGUGGCACAUCCCAAGGGAACGCGGGGCAGCAGCGGGGAAACUUUCAAGCUGGGAUCUCAAAGGACGCUGCCGAGGUUAAUUAAAGUUUGCACAAUCCCUUGGGGGUUAGAUAAGUCUGGACAACCCACUUUCCAGGCAGGAAAAGGGCUGGAGUUGGGGAGGGAGGUAAUAUGCCCCCAGAUGAGUGGCAGGGCAGGUAAAGCUGCUCCAUGGCAAGAAUGGGAAGAAAAAUUCCAUUUUUGAGGCUAUUUUCAAGGCCUUGAGGCAGACACAAACCACAGCUAUUGGAAAAGGCGGUUUUUUACCCUAGCUGAGCUCCUUUUCUCCCUCAUCCAAAGGGAAAACACAUCCCAGGUUAUCACCUGCAAUUCUUUUCCCCAAAUAGUCUCAAAGACAGGGUUUGAUAAGACCCAAUCAAACAAGUUGCAGCUUUCCAAGAAUUUCACCCCCUACACCUCCCUGUGGUGGGGACUCCCUGGCUUUUCCCUUUGCCUGGGGAGAUUUACAAAGCAGGAAUAAUUUUGACGCCCGUGGUGGAAGCAGCCAGGUCAGACAGCUGCCUUCUCCCCCCUCUCCCUGAGCCAAGCUGAGCUCUGUGCUCUCUCCCAGCUUUGCCUCAUGCGAGGAUUCACAGGAAUUUGUUUAAAAAUAUCCCAGAGCAAUCCAGUUGUGGAGGCGGCCCGGAGAGCAGUGCCAUCUCCCACAGCACCCCCAGCUCUGGCCACCAGCUCCUGCAGAGGGUUUUUUUUUGUCCCUCCCUCACAUCUCAACAACCUCUUUUUAUUUGGGUUUUGGAGCCGGGAGGGGAACGCAGCGGGUUCCUGAGGCUUUGCACGCCCUUCUCCCGCUGGCCUCCCUCUCCCCACUUUAACCCCCCCUCACCUUCUGUGCCUGGUCAUGGUUGAGCUCGGUGAAGAAAUAAGCGAGGAGAUGGGAUGCGAUCAUGGCGGGAGCGCUCGGCCCGCCUCGGCCCGGUUCGGCUGGGCUCGGCACGGCUCGGCACGGCUCGGCUGGGCUCGGCUCAGCUCGGCUCGGCUCAGCUCGGCUCGGCUCGGCUCAGCACGGUUCGGCUAGGCUCGGCUCAGCUCGGCCCGGCUCGGCUCAGUUCGGCUCAGCUCGGCCCGGCUCGGCUCAGUUCGGCUCAGCUCGGCCCGGCUCGGCUCAGUUCGGCUCAGUUCGGCCCGGCUCGGCUCAGCUCGGCCCGGCUCGGCUCAGUUCGGCUCAGUUCGGCCCGGCUCGGCGGGAGCGGAGCGGCCCCGGCAGCGCCGCGCGCUCCCCGCGCCAAUCGCGCUCAUUGAGGAUCCGCCCCCGGCGGUGACGCGGCCGCGCCGCCGCUCCCCAUUGGCCCAGGAGCGAGGGAAAGAGGGAGAGAAGCAACCGAUGCCAGAGGUGAGACAACCCUGCUGCCAGACACCUUUUCCUUGAGGAUCCAGUCCUGCUGCACCCACCAUGAAUCUGUCAGGCGUGCCGGUUAAAUCCCCAGAUCGUGACCUGAUUCAUUUUAGGAUUUGGACUCAAUGAUCCUCGUGGAUCUCUUCCAAAUCAGGAUGUUCCAUUAAUCUCUGUCACUGCCCCUACAUUUCAAUUCACCCUCUGAUCCAGCUUUUUUUUUUUUUUUUUUUUUUUUUAC